GCAGCGUUGUCCGAGUGGUUAAGGAAAUUGGCUAGGAAUCAAUUGGGCUCUGCCCUCGUAGGUUCGAAUCUUGCUCACUGCG
rnacentral:tRNA from 1 species